rnacentral:misc_RNA from 1 species
GAUGAAGAACGUAGCGAAAUGCGAUAAGUAGUGUGAAUUGCAGAAUUACCUGAAUCAUCGAAUCUUUGAACGCACAUUGCACCUCUCGGUAUUCCGGGAGGUAUGCCUGUUCGAGCGUCAUUUGUACCCUCAAGCUCUGCUUGGUGUUGGGUGUUUGUUCCGCCUCUGUGUGUGAACUCGCCUCAAAACAAUUGGCAGCCGGCGUACUUGUUUCGGAGCGCAGCACAUUUUGCGAUCCAGAUCAACGUACAGCGGCAUCCAAGAAGCCUUAUUUAACGCUCUUGACCUCGGAUCAGGUAGGGAUACCCGCUGAACUUAAGCAUAUCAAUAAGCGGAGGA